UCCGUAGGGUGCAAGCGUUGUCCGGAAUUAUUGGGCGUAAAGAGCUCGUAGGCGGUUUGUCGCGUCUGCUGUGAAAACCCGAGGCUCAACCUCGGGCCUGCAGUGGAUACGGGCAGACUAGAGUGCGGUAGGGGAGAUUGGAAUUCCUGGUGUAGCGGUGGAAUGCGCAGAUAUCAGGAGGAACACCGGUGGCGAAGGCGGGUCUCUGGGCCGUAACUGACGCUGAGGAGCGAAAGCGUGGGGAGCGAACAGG
rnacentral:rRNA from 1 species